AGGGCGCACGGUGGAUGCCUUGGCACUAGGAGCCGACGAAGGACGUGACAAACGACGAUAUGCCUUGGGUAGCUGUAAGUAAGCGAUGAUCCAGGGAUUUCCGAAUGGGGGAACCCAACAGGUAGUACCUGUUACCCACAUCUGUUAAGGAUGUGAGGAGGAAGACGCAGUGAACUGAAACAUCUAAGUAGCUGCAGGAAGAGAAAGCAAAAGCGAUUGCCUUAGUAGCGGCGAGCGAAACGGCAGAAGGGCAAACCGAAGAGUUUACUCUUCGGGGUUGUAGGACUGCAAUGUGGACUCAAAGAUUAUAGAAGAAUGAUUUGGGAAGAUCAGCCAAAGAGAGUAAUAGCCUCGUAUUUUAAAUAGUCUUUGUACCUAGCAGUAUCCUGAGUACGGCGGGACACGUGAAAUCCCGUCGGAAUCUGGGAGGACCAUCUCCCAACCCUAAAUACUCCCUAGUGACCGAUAGUGAACCAGUACCGUGAGGGAAAGGUGAAAAGCACCCCGGGAGGGGAGUGAAAUAGAACCUGAAAACCGUGUGCCUACAACAAGUUCGAGCCCGUUAAUGGGGUGAGAGCGUGCCUUUUGUAGAAUGAACCGGCGAGUUACGUUAUGAUGCGAGGUUAAGUUGAAGAGACGGAGCCGUAGGGAAACCGAGUCUGAAUAGGGCGCCUUAGUAUCAUGACGUAGACCCGAAACCAUGUGACCUACCCAUGAGCAGGUUGAAGGUGCGGUAAGACGCACUGGAGGACCGAACCAGGGCACGUUGAAAAGUGCUUGGAUGACUUGUGGGUAGCGGAGAAAUUCCAAACGAACUUGGAGAUAGCUGGUUCUCUCCGAAAUAGCUUUAGGGCUAGCGUCGACAUUAGAGAUUCUUGGAGGUAGAGCACUGUUUGGGUGAGGGGUCCAUCCCGGAUUACCAAUCUCAGAUAAACUCCGAAUGCCAAUGAAUUAUGGUCGGCAGUCAGACUGCGAGUGCUAAGAUCCGUAGUCGAAAGGGAAACAGCCCAGACCACCAGCUAAGGUCCCAAAAUAAUUGUUAAGUGGAAAAGGAUGUGGGGUUGCACAGACAACUAGGAUGUUAGCUUAGAAGCAGCUAUUCAUUCAAAGAGUGCGUAAUAGCUCACUAGUCGAGUGACCCUGCGCCGAAAAUGUACCGGGGCUAAAACAAUUUACCGAAGCUGUGGAUACCUUUAUAGGUAUGGUAGGAGAGCGUUCUAUGUGUGAUGAAGGUAUACCGUGAGGAGUGCUGGAACGCAUAGAAGUGAGAAUGCCGGUAUGAGUAGCGAAAGACAGGUGAGAAUCCUGUCCACCGUAAGACUAAGGUUUCCAGGGGAAGGCUCGUCCGCCCUGGGUUAGUCGGGACCUAAGGAGAGACCGAAAGGUGUAUCCGAUGGACAACAGGUUGAUAUUCCUGUACUAGAGUAUGUAGUGAUGGAGGGACGCAGUAGGCUAACUAAAGCAGACGAUUGGGAGAGUCUGUCUAAGCAGUGAGGUGUGAACUGAGUCAAAUGCUUAAUUCUAUAACAUUGAGCUGUGAUGGGGAGCGAAGUUUAGUAGCGAAGUUAGUGACGUCACACUGCCAAGAAAAGCUUCUAGCGUUUAAAUAUACUCUACCCGUACCGCAAACCGACACAGGUAGUCGAGGCGAGUAGCCUCAGGUGAGCGAGAGAACUCUCGUUAAGGAACUCGGCAAAAUGACCCCGUAACUUCGGGAGAAGGGGUGCUGACUUUAAGUCAGCCGCAGUGAAUAGGCCCAAGCAACUGUUUAUCAAAAACACAGCUCUCUGCUAAAUCGUAAGAUGAUGUAUAGGGGGUGACGCCUGCCCGGUGCUGGAAGGUUAAGAGGAGUGCUUAGCGUAAGCGAAGGUAUGAAUUGAAGCCCCAGUAAACGGCGGCCGUAACUAUAACGGUCCUAAGGUAGCGAAAUUCCUUGUCGGGUAAGUUCCGACCCGCACGAAAGGCGUAAUGAUUUGGGCACUGUCUCAACGAGAGACUCGGUGAAAUUUUAGUACCUGUGAAGAUGCAGGUUACCCGCGACAGGACGGAAAGACCCCAUGGAGCUUUACUGCAGUUUGAUA
rnacentral:rRNA from 1 species